ACAAAACAUGAAAAAGUUUCUAAUAUUGACACGUAUUAUUAACUCCAUUUUAAAAUUUUAAUAAUCAAGUUGGAAAUAAAAAAUUUACGACAAAACAAUUAAAUAAUAAUAAUAAUAAUUAAGGUUGGCUUCUUUAACUUUGGUUAACCAAUAUUAACCAUGGUUAAAGUACAUUAAAUAAAUAAAAAAAAAGGGCUAAACACGUUAUCACACACCUAUGUUAUUUACUUUUUUUGUCCAAGACACACCUGAAUUAAAUUUUCUACUUAUUAAUAUUAUACAU
rnacentral:misc_RNA from 1 species